UACGGGGGGGGCAAGCGUUGUUCGGAAUUACUGGGCGUAAAGGGCUUGUAGGUGGCCAACUAAGUCAGACGUGAAAUCCCUCGGCUUAACCGGGGAACUGCGUCUGAUACUGGAUGGCUCGAGUGUGGGAGAGGGAUGCGGAAUUCCAGGUGUAGCGGUGAAAUGCGUAGAUAUCUGGAGGAACACCGGUGGCGAAAGCGGCUCACUGGACCAUAACUGACGCUGAUGCACGAAAGCUAGGGGGAGCAAACAGG
rnacentral:rRNA from 1 species